rnacentral:ncRNA from 1 species
GAGCGCGGUAUGCGAUGAAAGUCGCACGUACCGUGCGGAGCAGGGGAAAAGGUGGAGAUAGUCUCAAAGCCUUACCUAUUGCCAU